GUGGGGAAUAUUGGACAAUGGGCGAAAGCCUGAUCCAGCCAUGCCGCGUGUGUGAAGAAGGUCUUCGGAUUGUAAAGCACUUUAAGUUGGGAGGAAGGGUAGUAACCUAAUACGUUGCUACUUUGACGUUACCGACAGAAUAAGCACCGGCUAACUUCGUGCCAGCAGCCGCGGUAAUACGAAGGGUGCAAGCGUUAAUCGGAAUUACUGGGCGUAAAGCGCGCGUAGGUGGUUCAGUAAGUUGGAAGUGAAAUCCCCGGGCUCAACCUGGGAACUGCUUUCAAAACUGCUGAGCUAGAGUACGGUAGAGGGUGGUGGAAUUUCCUGUUUAGCGGUGAAAUGCGUAGAUAUAGGAAGGAACACCAGUGGCGAAGGCGACCACCUGGACUGAUACUGACACUGAGGUGCGAAAGCGUGGGGAGCAAACAGGAUUAGAAACCCCGGUAGUCC
rnacentral:rRNA from 1 species